GACGAACGCUGGCGGCGUGCCUAAUACAUGCAAGUCGAACGAACCGCGACUAGGUGCUUGCACUUGGUCAAGGUGAGUGGCGAACGGGUGAGUAACACGUGGGUAACCUACCUCAUAGUGGGGGAUAACAGUCGGAAACGACUGCUAAUAACGCAUAGGACAUAGGAUAACAUGAUCCAGUGAGGAAAGGUGGCGCAAGCUAUCGCGAAGAGAUGGACCCGCGGUGCAUUAGCUAGUUGGUAGGGUAAAGGCCUACCAAGGCGAUGAUGCAUAGCCGACCUGAGAGGGUGAUCGGCCACAUUGGGACUGAGACACGGCCCAAACUCCUACGGGAGGCAGCAGUAGGGAAUCUUCCGCAAUGGACGCAAGUCUGACGGUGCAACGCCGCGUGAGUGAAGAAGGUCUUCGGAUCGUAAAGCUCUGUUGUUAGAGAAGAACAGCGCAUAGAGUAACUGUUAUGCGUGUGACGGUAUCUAACCAGAAAGCCACGGCUAACUACGUG
rnacentral:rRNA from 1 species